rnacentral:rRNA from 1 species
GAUCCUGGCUCAGGACGAACGCUGGCGGCGUGCCUAACACAUGCAAGUCGAACGGAACUUCUUUAAUUGAUUUCUUCGGAAUGAUUUUGAUUAAGUUUAGUGGCGGACGGGUGAGUAACGCGUGAGUAACCUGCCUCUAAGAGGGGAAGUAACAUUCUGAAAAGAAUGCUAAUACCGCAUAAUAUAUAUUUAUCGCAUGGUAGAUAUAUCAAAGAUUUAUCGCUUAGAGAUGGACUCGCGUCCG